UACGUAGGUGGCAAGCGUUGUCCGGAUUUACUGGGCGUAAAGAGCGCGCAGGCGGUCGUUCAAGUCGCGUGUGAAAGCCCCCGGCUCAACUGGGGAGGGUCACGCGAUACUGAUCGACUCGAAGGCAGGAGAGGGUAGUGGAAUUCCCGGUGUAGUGGUGAAAUGCGUAGAUAUCGGGAGGAACGCCAGUGGCGAAGGCGACUACCUGGCCUGUUUCUUGACGCUGAGGCGCGAAAGCUAGGGGAGCAAACGGG
rnacentral:rRNA from 1 species